UCGAAACGUUCCGUCUUGUGUCGUACAUAGACGCAGCCGGUAUAUACGCUUCGUUGUCUGGUGUUAUUGUCUGUUCUUUGUAUUCUUAGCUGUCACCGAUAUUUGUUAGGGAAAUUUCGUUUAGCUAUAAGUCGUCUUCCGUUAUAUCGCUUGGACGUCCAGCCCGCUGUCUGGUAUAGCUCGCUGUGCCGCCAAGAAAUAUAGACGAUGCGACGUUUUGUAGUAAUUUAAUAAAAAAAAAAGGUAUUCUUAUCUGGUUUAGUGCGUGGGUUCGAUUUUGAUGGUGUUUUUUAAUUAUCGAUUUUUGAUUUCGAGUUGUAGCUGUUAUAUUACCUAUAUUUCCUGUAGUUUGGAGCUGGGGACCAGCUCAAAAUUUUGCCUGCGUCAAAAUUUUCUCUGGGGAGGGGAGUACUGUAACAAUAUUUUUUCAAACCUCGUAGGUAUAUUUUUAUUUAGCUGAUAUUAUACUCAAGUAACUAUUGGUUUCGUACAGGCAGAGCCAUCUAUCGGCAGGAUUGUAUUGAUAACCCAGUUUGCUGUUAGCUAGAAUGACAAAAGAUGGCGUGUCGAUCGUCGUUAAUUUAUUUCCUUCCAAAAUCCCUUUUGAAUUUUCAUUUAUUAAAAAUAAAACUCAAUUUAUUAUUGUAUUGUUAGUUUUCGUUCCUUUUUGGAAAUAUUUUAUUACCCUCUUUAAGACAGAAGUUAAAGUUGUUGUCUAUAGGCGAAUGCAUCUCGUCACGUAUCUGUGGGCCGAGCUGUCAGCCGACACUUUGCAUAUUGGAAAGGAUGUAGACGGGUGGUUUUCAAAUUCUUCAGGGCCAAUGCGCCACAUUCUAAUUUUUAAAUCGCGAAUUAAUCGCAUAAUCAUGAUUUUAAUUUUAUAAAAUUACUGAGGACCCCUUCCAUUGACAUGAUUGCACGGAACCACAAGCCGGCUUCUUUUCUGGAAUGGGUCCUCAGAUUUGGAGGUUAACGUUCGAAGACAGAGCAGAGCUGAUGCUUCCCGAGCCUGGACCGGUGGACAGGAGGCUGUGGCGAUCGGUAUGGAAGAGCUCCCAUUCCGUGGCUGCAGCGGCCACCUCUCCUCAAUUCGGUUAGACGUCCCCCAAGGUCAGAGCGUUCCUCGUUUAUUUUUUAAAAAAGGCGCCCAACAUAAAUUAAUUUUUUAAUUAAUAAUUUACCUUUUACCCGGUCUUCCAGUACCAGAACUACUGACUCACCCCUAUGCUCUAAAUUUUAGGUAUUUGUUUUUUUUUUAAGUAAAUAGACUGAGCUAGCGAUAUAAUUUAUAAUAAGGGUAGUUUCAUUGCCUACCAGUUAGGCGUUACUAAGUAGUGUAUUAUUACUUUCGAAAUUAUUUUCAAAAAGUAAGUUAAUUAAAAAGUUAUUUUCUAUAUAAA
rnacentral:lncRNA from 1 species